UACGGGGGGUGCAAGCGUUGCUCGGAAUCACUGGGCGUAAAGUGUCCGCAGGUGGGUGUGUGUGUCGGAUGUGAAAUCACGGCUCAACCGUGGAAGUGCACUCGAAACUGCGUAGCUAGAGUCCCGGAGAGGAAGGUGGAAUACUUGGUGUAGAGGUGAAAUUCGUAGAUAUCAAGUGGAACACCGGUGGCGAAGGCGGCCUUCUGGACGGUGACUGACGCUGAGACGCGAAAGCGUGGGGAGCAAACAGG
rnacentral:rRNA from 1 species